rnacentral:rRNA from 2 species
AAGUCUGAUGGAGCAACGCCGCGUGAGUGAAGAAGGUCUUCGGAUCGUAAAACUCUGUUGUUAGAGAAGAACACGAGUGAGAGUAACUGUUCAUUCGAUGACGGUAUCUAACCAGCAAGUCACGGCUAACUACGUGCCAGCAGCCGCGGUAAUACGUAGGUGGCAAGCGUUGUCCGGAUUUAUUGGGCGUAAAGGGAACGCAGGCGGUCUUUUAAGUCUGAUGUGAAAGCCUUCGGCUUAACCGGAGUAGUGCAUUGGAAACUGGAAGACUUGAGUGCAGAAGAGGAGAGUGGAACUCCAUGUGUAGCGGUGAAAUGCGUAGAUAUAUGGAAGAACACCAGUGGCGAAAGCGGCUCUCUGGUCUGUAACUGACGCUGAGGUUCGAAAGCGUGGGUAGCAAACAGGAUUAGAUACCCUGGUAGUCCACGCCGUAAACGAUGAAUGCUAGGUGUUGGAGGGUUUCCGCCCUUCAGUGCCGCAGCUAACGCAAUAAGCAUUCCGCCUGGGGAGUACGACCGCAAGGUUGAAACUCAAAGGAAUUGACGGGGGCCCGCACAAGCGGUGGAGCAUGUGGUUUAAUACGAAGCAACGCGAAGAACCUUACCAGGUCUUGACAUCCUUUGACCACCUAAGAGAUUAG